UGUUUUUUCUGAGAACACUCGUAUCUUAGGAAAAGGUGUAUAUGACUGUUUUGAUGACGUAUCACUAAAGCAGAUGCACACCUAUAUUUUAAAGAAUUGCGAUGAAGUGAUGGAGUUUAUUAGUGAGCAUAAGGAGAUGCUGAUACGAAAUGGAUGUAUUGAUGUGGAGAAGGAGCAUGAUCAAACUUUUACAAAAUGGUUCGACCAACGAAUCACAUUGGCAUCAGAUGAAGAAAAAGAACGAUUUCAUGAGGGUUUAGUACACUUGGCUAGUGGUCCCGAUAAAAGAGUAACUCAUUGUGAGGGUUGUACAGUGAAUGGGUUACGGUUUAAUACUAAGCGACAUGAUUUGGGAAAAAAAAAACUCAAAACUGUGGUGUGGUUGUGAAAGUUGAAGAUGACAUGGGAUUUCAAGAAUACUACGGUGUGUUGGUGGAUAUAGUUCAAUUGGACUAUUUUGGAAAUAAUCAAGUGACAUUGUUCCAAUGUGAUUGGUAUGAAGGCAAGUCAGUGCAAAAGGACAAAUACAAUUAUACAAGUGUCAACUUAUCAAAACCAUGGAAGACAAAUGAGCCAUAUGUGUUGGCAACUCAAGCAGAACAAGUUUAUUAUGUUAAUGACAUAAAACUUGGCAAUGAUUGGAAAGUUGUUAUCCGAGCACAAGCGCGCAAUAUAUGGAAUGUGGUUGAGAAUAAGGAGGAUGAAUGUGUAGUGAGUAAUGAGUCUUAUCAGCAAAAUGAAUCACAUUCUACAGUCGGCAUGAUUCAACCUAAUAAUGAUUUUGUCGAAUGGUGUCGAAAUGAUGUCCCGGGAUCAACCAUCUCCACAACAGCAAUAACACCAAGAAAAGAGCAUCCUCAAGCAGAAGAAGA